GAGGGACGAAGCCCUGGGGCGCAAACGGGAUUAGAUACCCCGGUAGUCCAGGGUGUAAACGCUGCGGGCUUGGUGUUGGGGGUCCUUUGUGGGCGCCCAGUGCCGGAGAGAAGUUGUUAAGCCUGCUGCUUGGGGAGUAUGUCCGCAAGGAUGAAACUUAAAGGAAUUGGCGGGGGAGCACCGCAACGGGAGGAGCGUGCGGUUCAAUUGGA
rnacentral:ncRNA from 1 species